rnacentral:rRNA from 1 species
GACGAACGCUGGCGGCGUGCUUAACACAUGCAAGUCGAACGGAAAGGCCCUGAUUUUGUGGGGUGAUCGAGUGGCGAACGGGUGAGUAACACGUGAGUAACCUGCCCUUGACUUUGGGAUAACUUCAGGAAACUGGGGCUAAUCCCGGAUAGGAGCUCCUGCUGCAUGGUGGGGGUUGGAAAGUUUCGGCGGUUGGGGAUGGACUCGCGGCUUAUCAGCUUGUUGGUGGGGUAGUGGCUUACCCAGGCAUUGACGGGUAGCCGGCCUGAGAGGGUGACCGGCCACAAGGGGACUGAGAUACGGCCCAGACUCCUACGGGAGGCAGCAGUGGGGAGUAUUGCACAAUGGGCGGAAGCCUGAUGCAGCAGCGCCGCGUGCGGGAUGACGGCCUGCUGGUUGUAAACCGCUUUCGCCUGUUACGAAGCGGGAGUGACGGUAAUGGGUAAAGAAGCACCGGCUAACUACGUG